rnacentral:rRNA from 1 species
AAUCUGGGGUCUCCGGCCCCCGAGUUGUAAUUUGGAGAGGCAUCUUCGGGAGGAGCGCUGGCCAAUGUUCCUUGGAACAGGACGUCGCAGAGGGUGAGAAUCCCGUGCCAGGCCAGCCGCGCCCUUCCACGUGAAGCGCCUUCGACGAGUCGAGUUGUUUGGGAAUGCAGCUCCAAGUGGGUGGUAAAUUUCAUCUAAAGCUAAAUACCGGCGAGAGACCGAUAGCGCACAAGUAGAGUGAUCGAAAGAUGAAAAGCACUUUGAAAAUAGAGUCAAAAAGUACGUGAAAUUGUUGAAAGGGAAGCGCUUGAGACCAGACUCGGAGCGAGGCAAACAUCUGGCCCCGCGGGGCCGUGCACUUGCCUCGGGCCGGGCCAGCAUCAGUUGGUGCGGCGGGAGAAAGGCGCGGGGAAUGUGGCUCCCCUCGGGGAGUGUUAUUAGCCCCGUGCUCAAUGCCGCCCGCACCGACUGAGGACCGCGCUUCGGCUAGGAUGCUGGCUUAAUGGCCUUCAGCGACCCGUCUUGAAACACGGACCAAGGAGUCUAACAUCUAUGCGAGUGUUUGGGUGCCAAACCCUUUCGCGGAAUGAAAGUGAACGGAGGUGGGAACCCCUCGCCGGGCGCACCAUCGACCGAUCCUGAUGUCUUCGGAUGGAUUUGAGUA